rnacentral:rRNA from 2 species
GAUUGAACGCUGGCGGCAGGCCUAACACAUGCAAGUCGAACGGUAACAGGAAGAAGCUUGCUUCUUUGCUGACGAGUGGCGGACGGGUGAGUAAUGUCUGGGAAACUGCCUGAUGGAGGGGGAUAACUACUGGAAACGGUAGCUAAUACCGCAUAACGUCGCAAGACCAAAGAGGGGGACCUUAGGGCCUCUUGCCAUCGGAUGUGCCCAGAUGGGAUUAGCUAGUAGGUGGGGUAAAGGCUCACCUAGGCGACGAUCCCUAGCUGGUCUGAGAGGAUGACCAGCCACACUGGAACUGAGACACGGUCCAGACUCCUACGGGAGGCAGCAGUGGGGAAUAUUGCACAAUGGGCGCAAGCCUGAUGCAGCCAUGCCGCGUGUAUGAAGAAGGCCUUCGGGUUGUAAAGUACUUUCAGCGGGGAGGAAGGUGUUGUGGUUAAUAACCACAGCAAUUGACGUUACCCGCAGAAGAAGCACCGGCUAACUCCGUGCCAGCAGCCGCGGUAAUACGGAGGGUGCAAGCGUUAAUCGGAAUUACUGGGCGUAAAGCGCACGCAGGCGGUCUGUCAAGUCGGAUGUGAAAUCCCCGGGCUCAACCUGGGAACUGCAUUCGAAACUGGCAAGCUUGAGUCUCGUAGAGGGGGGUAGAAUUCCACGUGUAGCGGUGAAAUGCGUAGAGAUCUGGAGGAAUACCGGUGGCGAAAGGCGGCCCCUGGACGAAGACUGACGCUCAGGUGCGAAAGCGUGGGGGAGCAAACAGGAUUAGAUACCCUGGUAGUCCACGCCGUAAACGAUGUCUAUUUGGAGGUUGUGCCCCUGAGGUGUGGCUUCCGGAGCUAACGCGUUAAAUAGACCGCCUGGGGAGUACGGCCGCAAGGUUAAAACUCAAAUGAAUUGACGGGGGCCCGCACAAGCGGUGGAGCAUGUGGUUUAAUUCGAUGCAACGCGAAGAACCUUACCUGGUCUUGACAUCCACAGAACUUUCCAGAGAUGGAGGGGUGCCUUCGGGAACUGUGAGACAGGUGCUGCAUGGCUGUCGUCAGCUCGUGUUGUGAAAUGUUGGGUUAAGUCCCGCAACGAGCGCAACCCUUAUCCUUUGUUGCCAGCGGUUAGGCCGGGAACUCAAAGGAGACUGCCAGUGAUAAACUGGAGGAAGGUGGGGAUGACGUCAAGUCAUCAUGGCCCUUACGACCAGGGCUACACACGUGCUACAAUGGCGCAUACAAAGAGAAGCGAACUCGCGAGAGCAAGCGGACCUCAUAAAGUGCGUCGUAGUCCGGACUGGAGUCUGCAACUCGACUCCAUGAAGUCGGAAUCGCUAGUAAUCGUGGAUCAGAAUGCCACGGUGAAUACGUUCCCGGGCCUUGUACACACCGC